UACGAAGGGGGCUAGCGUUGCUCGGAAUCACUGGGCGUAAAGGGUGCGUAGGCGGGUCUUUAAGUCAGGGGUGAAAUCCUGGAGCUCAACUCCAGAACUGCCUUUGAUACUGAGGAUCUUGAGUUCGGGAGAGGUGAGUGGAACUGCGAGUGUAGAGGUGAAAUUCGUAGAUAUUCGCAAGAACACCAGUGGCGAAGGCGGCUCACUGGCCCGAUACUGACGCUGAGACGGCGAAAAGCGUGGGGAGCAAACAGG
rnacentral:rRNA from 1 species